UGGGGAAUUUUGGACAAUGGGCGAAAGCCUGAUCCAGCAAUGCCGCGUGUGUGAAGAAGGCCUUCGGGUUGUAAAGCACUUUUGUCCGGAAAGAAAUCCUUGGCUCUAAUACAGUCGGGGGAUGACGGUACCGGAAGAAUAAGCACCGGCUAACUACGUGCCAGCAGCCGCGGUAAUACGUAGGGUGCAAGCGUUAAUCGGAAUUACUGGGCGUAAAGCGUGCGCAGGCGGUUUGCUAAGACCGAUGUGAAAUCCCCGGGCUCAACCUGGGAACUGCAUUGGUGACUGGCAGGCUAGAGUAUGGCAGAGGGGGUAGGAAUUCCACGUGUAGCAGUGAAAUGCGUAGAGAUGUGGAGGAAUACCGAUGGCGAAGGCAGCCCCCUGGGCCAAUACUGACGCUCAUUCACGAAAGCGUGGGGGAGCAAACAGGAUUAGAUACCCUGGUAGUCCACGCCCUAAAACGAUGUCAACUAGUUGUUGGGGAUUCAUUUCCUUAGUAACGUAGCUAACGCGUGAAGUUGACCGCCUGGGGAGUACGGUCGCAAGAUUAAAACUCAAAGGAAUUGACGGGGUCAUAGCUGUUUCCU
rnacentral:rRNA from 1 species